GAAAUGCGAUAAGUAGUGUGAAUUGCAGAAUUCAGUGAAUCAUCGAAUCUUUGAACGCACAUUGCGCCCCUCGGUAUUCUGGCGGGCAUGCCUGUUCGAGCGUCAUUUCAACCAUCAAGCCCCGGGCUUGUGUUGGGGACCUGCGGCUGCCGCAGGCCCUGAAAAGCAGUGGCGGGCUCGCUGUCACACCGAGCGUAGUAGCAUACAUCUCGCUCUGGGCGUGCUGCGGGUUCCGGCCGUUAAACCACCUUCGUAACCCAAGGUUGACCUCGGAUCAGGUAGGAAGACCCGCUGAACUUAAGC
rnacentral:misc_RNA from 1 species